rnacentral:lncRNA from 1 species
GCCCGCCGCUUCCGGCUCCUCCCCGUGGCGCGGGCGGGCGGGCGAGUCCGCCAUGGCCGCGCUGGCGGCCCUUUCAAACGCGGCAGCCGGCGGCAGCAGGGGGUAAUGACUGGGGAAGCCUCCCGCUCCUCGCCGGGACGGGGCCGCGGGUGAGGCGGGGCGAGCAGCGGGGCUGCACCGGCCCCGGUGCUCUCCGUGCCACACCGCGCCUGCAGGAGAGGGAUUCGCUCUUGUCUCGGUUGUCUAGGUGGAAGCGAACCUCUUCUUUUCCUGGGCCUCCGUCUGUGCUCUCGGCCUCACCCCCAGGCCGGCGGGACAGGGUGGCAUCGCCCUGCAGUGGUGCCCGACCCCGUUGCGAGGGGGCAGGCCUGACUGGCUUUGUGCAACUCCUUGGAAAUCUGUACCAGCUUCUCUGAGCAAAAGUGUCUGGAAGUUCUCCAAGAUUUUAACCUCGAGAGGAUUACAGUAUAAAGAGCAAAGGAAAACGGAGAAGUGGAUUGGCUGGAUGAGGUUGCAGGUGUCUCAGAACUGUCAGUGAAAAGUCACCUGGGAAGCUAAUAAGGUGAGUAAUAUUUGUUGUGUUCUGUGGAGAUUUGUGGUUUUCUGUGGUGGAUGUGUAUUCUAAGCAGUCACAUAAUGGGAUUUUG